CAUAUGUGCUUGAUUCCUUUCAAGCAACAAGUAUUUGGCAAGGCAAUCCCAGUUUAAUGAAAACGGUAAAAAUAUAUAUAUUUUUGCUGUGAGAGAACUGGUGAACUGAACUGUUGUUACAAUGUUCCAUUGCAUCUCUAGAUGAAUCCAGGGGCGUAUGAUGUUCUUAUUGGGACAGUUAAUGAGAACAAUCACUGGACGCUCCUGGUCUGUUUCUUUCCAUUCUUGUCCUUCACUGUAAAUUAAAAUUGUUUAAAUUCAGAGCAAGAUUCAUGCAUAAUUAUUUUUGCAGGUGAUAUAUCCUAAAAAACUGAGAAUACUGUACCUAAAUUCGCUCGGUGAAAACCAAAGUAAACUGGAACACUGUAAAAAGGCUGUAAGUUUGCAGAAGCUAUUUUAAAAGGAGGUAAUUUGGAGUUUGAAAGCACAGUGGCCAACAUAAAUGUCAUUCGCCAAGACAUAGGCCUUUGCUUUCUACAAGAAACAGAGGACCUCUCUGAACUAUGCUUGGCCUGUGGAGACAAAUAUCCAUACACAGAAGACACUGAGGACUCUUGGGUCUGCAAAUUAGCAAACUGUUCUUCGUUUCACCCUGCUUCAAAACAAGUUAUAACGUCAGUGUCUCUUUCAGAUUCAGUGUGACAGCUGCAAUGGAUGGUUUCACUGGGAAUGUGUAAACCGACCCAAUAUAAAAGAUUGUUUUGUUUGUCACGGAUGCCAAGGCCCUGCUUAA